GCUUACCAUGCAGUCGAACGAUGAUUAUCUAGCUUGCUAGAUAUGAUUAGUGGCGGACGGGUGAGUAACAUUUAGGAAUCUGCCUAGUAGUGGGGGAUAGCUCGGGGAAACUCGAAUUAAUACCGCAUACGACCUACGGGUGAAAGGGGGCGCAAGCUCUUGCUAUUAGAUGAGCCUAAAUCAGAUUAGCUAGUUGGUGGGGUAAAGGCCCACCAAGGCGACGAUCUGUAACUGGUCUGAGAGGAUGAUCAGUCACACCGGAACUGAGACACGGUCCGGACUCCUACGGGAGGCAGCAGUGGGGAAUAUUGGACAAUGGGGGCAACCCUGAUCCAGCCAUGCCGCGUGUGUGAAGAAGGCCUUUUGGUUGUAAAGCACUUUAAGCAGGGAGGAGAGGCUAAUGGUUAAUACCCAUUAGAUUAGACGUUACCUGCAGAAUAAGCACCGGCUAACUCUGUGCCAGCAGCCGCGGUAAUACAGAGGGUGCGAGCGUUAAUCGGAAUUACUGGGCGUAAAGCGAGUGUAGGUGGCUCAUUAAGUCACAUGUGAAAUCCCCGGGCUUAACCUGGGAACUGCAUGUGAUACUGGUGGUGCUAGAAUAUGUGAGAGGGAAGUAGAAUUCCAGGUGUAGCGGUGAAAUGCGUAGAGAUCUGGAGGAAUACCGAUGGCGAAGGCAGCUUCCUGGCAUAAUAUUGACACUGAGAUUCGAAAGCGUGGGUAGCAAACAGGAUUAGAUACCCUGGUAGUCCACGCCGUAAACGAUGUCUACUAGCCGUUGGGGUCCUUGAGACUUUAGUGGCGCAGUUAACGCGAUAAGUAGACCGCCUGGGGAGUACGGCCGCAAGGUUAAAACUCAAAUGAAUUGACGGGGGCCCGCACAAGCGGUGGAGCAUGUGGUUUAAUUCGAUGCAACGCGAAGAACCUUACCUGGUCUUGACAUAGUGAGAAUCUUGUAGAGAUGAGGGAGUGCCUUCGGGAAUUCACAUACAGGUGCUGCAUGGCUGUCGUCAGCUCGUGUCGUGAGAUGUUGGGUUAAGUCCCGCAACGAGCGCAACCCUUUUCCUUAUUUGCCAGCGGGUUAAGCCGGGAACUUUAAGGAUACUGCCAGUGACAAACUGGAGGAAGGCGGGGACGACGUCAAGUCAUCAUGGCCCUUACGACCAGGGCUACACACGUGCUACAAUGGUAGGUACAGAGGGUUGCUACACAGCGAUGUGAUGCUAAUCUCAAAAAGCCUAUCGUAGUCCGGAUUGGAGUCUGCAACUCGACUCCAUGAAGUCGGAAUCGCUAGUAAUCGCAGAUCAGAAUGCUGCGGUGAAUACGUUCCCGGGCCUUGUACACACCGCCCGUCACACCAUGGGAGUCUAUUGCACCAGAAGUAGGUAGCCUAACGCAAGAGGGCGCUACC
rnacentral:rRNA from 1 species